CAAAAAAUUAUUGAAGAGUUGAAUAUAAACUCAACAAUUAACUUUAACCACAUAUAUUACCAUCCACUUUUCCAUCAAUCAUUUUGAUUAUUUAAAACCUCAAAGAAACAAGCAUUUAGAUUUCAAAACAAACAUGUAUAUACGACAUGUAUUUUAGCUGUCCCAAUUGGUGACCACUCCCAAUCCCAUUGAAUUUAAAUGUAGAGCAGAAUGCUUUAAAUUACAUGAUCGAUAUUCUCUUGUCGUUACUCAGUUCUGUUAUGUAAUUGAUUAUAUAAUGCUAUUCACGUGUAUGUUUGUUAAGCAACCAAGAGAUUCGGCUCUGCUGUAUUUAUUCAAAUUUUGAAUUUAACAUUUAAGGUGCAUUUGAUUGGCACGAAAAUGUCUCCUAAAAAUAAAAUUGUUUUCCUUGUUUCGAGAAAAACAAAAACCUAUUCCCUCAAAGAAAGCAUUUUCCUCAAAAACAACGAAAGUUAACAUAUUUUUGAAGGUUGGAAAAUAUUUUUCAUGUAAAAAAAUGGCAAUAAAGCAUUUCAAAAGUUAGAAUUUUGGGUGGAAAAUGCUAUUUUUCAUUGAAAAAUUUUCAAUCAAACAUAUCCUUACGGAAACAGAUGGAUUCAAAUGAU
rnacentral:lncRNA from 1 species